rnacentral:misc_RNA from 1 species
GGGAAUCAAGUUGUGGCUGUGUUUUAUCCAGAGAACAAGUUCUAUCAGGGAGAAUAUGAUGGCUAGUUAGUGCCUUAUUUGCAUUUGGUGACAUUCAGUGUGAGGCCCCUAUAUUUAGAACUUGAUGGUUUACUGUGAUGUUAUUGAUGGUACCUUGAGCUGUUUGAACUUCCUUGUUUUUCUAGGAAGCAAUUGUAUUUUGGUUGGUAAAAACUCUGCUUCGUUCUGUUUUUUCAUUUUAAAAAAAA